GCAAAGGUAGUAAGGGCUGACGGGGGAUGCCUAGGCAUCAAGAGCCGAAGAAGGACGUGGCUAAGCUGCGAAAAGCUACGGGUAGUCGCUGGCAGACGUAACCGUAGAUAUCCGAAUGGGGCAACCCAACGAGCGUGAUGGCUCGUUACUCCGCAAGGAGAGGCAAGCGGCUGAACUGAAACAUCUAAGUAAGCCGAGGAAAAGAGAAUAUUCCCCAAGUAGUGGCGAACGAACGGGGAGGAGCCUAAACCGAGAGAUUUAUCUUUCGGGGUUGUAGGACCGCCAAAUAUGAUACGAUGGAAGCUAGACGAAAGGUCCUGGGAAGGCCUGCCGGAGCGGGUGAUAGCCCCGUAGUCGAAAGCAGAAAUUGGUCAGGCGGCACCUGAGUAGCGCGGGGCACGUGAAAUCCCGUGUGAAGCUGGGGAGACCACUUCCCAAGGCUAAAUACUCUUGAUGACCGAUAGUGAACAAGUACCGUGAGGGAAAGGUGAAAAGCACCCCGACAAGGGGAAUGAAAUAGAUCCUGAAACCGUCAGCUUACAAACAGUCAGAGGGAGCAAUCCUGAUGGCGUACUUUUUGUAGAACGGACCGGCGAGUUAAUUUCUGUAGCAAGGUUAAGGGAGAUACACCCGGAGCCGGAGCGAAAGCGAGUCUGAAUAGGGCGUGAAGUUGCAGGGAUUGAGACCCGAAACCAGGUGAGCUAACCUUGGUCAGGUUGAAGCCGCUGUAAAAGGCGGUGGAGGACCGAACCCACCAUUGUUGCAAAAAUGGGGGAUGAACUGAGGUUAGGGGUGAAAUGCCAAACGAACUUGGAGAUAGCUGGUUCUCCCCGAAAUGUAUUUAGGUACAGCCUCUGAAAAAGGCUGGUGGAGGUAGAGCACUGAAUAGGCUAGGGGGCGCAAGCUUACCAAACCUAACCAAACUCCGAAUGCCAUCAGCUAUGUCAGGGAGUGAGACGGCGAGUGCUAACAUCCGUCGUCGAGAGGGAAACAACCCGGACUGGCAGCUAAGGUCCCUAAAUAGUGGCUAAGUGGUAAAGGAUGUCUCAGCGCGUAAACAACCAGGAGGUUGGCUUAGAAGCAGCCACCCUUGAAAGAGUGCGUAAUAGCUCACUGGUCAAAUGUGAUGGGGCGCCGACAAUUUAGCGGGGCUCAAGCCACUUACCGAAGCUCCAGGUGUGCGAAAGCACGCGGUAGGGGAGCAUUGUAGGAGCGACGAACCACACCGUAAGGUUAGUGAGGGAGCGACUACAAGAGAGAAUGCCGGUAUGAGUAGCGUAUUGCUUGCAAGAAACAAGCACACCGAAAGUCUAAGGUUUCCGAAGCAAGGUUAAUCCACUUCGGGUCAGUCGGGCCUAAGGUGUAGGCGAGAGCCGAAACCGAUGGACAACUGGUUGAUAUUCCAGUACCGCUCUUAAUCGUUCGGACUGAUGGGGUAACGCAGGGAGCUAGCCGGAGUGUGCUGCGGCACAUCGAAGCUGGUAGAUCGAUGAGGCUGGGGAGAAAAGCCCUGGCGGAGGUCGAGAGGUGACAGUGAGGGUGCGGCUUGCCAAACCCAAGUCUGGUGAAGCUGAACUGCCGAGAAAAGCCUCUAAGGAGAGAGAGAGCGACCGUACCGCAAACCGACACAGGUAGACGGGUAGAGAAUACCAAGGUGAACGAAAGACCCUUCGUUAAGGAACUCUGCAAAAUGACCUCGUAACUUCGGGAGAAGAGGUGCUGUUUGGGGUGUAGGUCUAUACGACCAGAGCUCUGGACAGCCGCAGUGAAGUGGCCCAGGCGACUGUUUAACAAAAACUUAGGUCUCUGCGAACGCGAAAGCGGAAGUAUAGGGGCUGAUGCCUGCCCAGUGCUGGAAGGUUAAGAGGAGGGGUGCAAGCUCUGAAUUGAAGCCCCAGUGAACGGCGGCCGUAACUCUAACGGUCCUAAGGUAGCGAAAUUCCUUGUCGGGUAAGUUCCGACCCGCACGAAAGGCAUAACGAUCUGGGCGCUGUCUCAACGAGGGCUUCGGCGAAAUUGAAAAACCCGUGAAGAUACAGGUUACCCGCAGCAGGACAAAAAGACCCCGUGGAGCUUUACUACAACUUGACAUUGGACUAGGGCGUUAGAUGCGUAGGAUAGGUGGGAGCCUGAGAAGCCUGACUUUUGGGUUAGGUGGAGGCAACGGUGAAAUACCACUCUUCUGACGUUUUGGCUCUAACUCUUCGGAGGACAGUGUCUGGUGGGUAGUUUGACUGGGGCGGUCGCCUCCCAAAAGGUAACGGAGGCGCCCAAAGGUUCCCUCAGGCUGAAUGGAAACCAGCCAAUGAGCGCAAAGGUAUAAGGGAGCUUGACUGCGAGACGCACAGGUCGAGCAGGUACGAAAGUAGGGCUUAGUGAUCCCACGGUGCUGAGUGGAAAGGCCGUGGCUUAACGGAUAAAAGCUACCCCGGGGAUAACAGGCUUAUCUUGCCCAAGAGUUCACAUCGACGGCAAGGUUUGGCACCUCGAUGUCGGCUCGUCGCAUCCUGGGGCUGGAGUAGGUCCCAAGGGUUGGGCUGUUCGCCCAUUAAAGCGGCACGCGAGCUGGGUUCAGAACGUCGUGAGACAGUUCGGUCUCUAUCCGCUGUGGGCGUAGGAAGAUUGAGGGGGGCUGUCCUUAGUACGAGAGGACCGGGAUGGACGAACCAAUGGUAUGCCAGUUGUCCGCAGGGCACGGCUGGAUGGCUACGUUCGGAAGGGAUAACCGCUGAAAGCAUCUAAGUGGGAAGCCCGCCCCAAGAUAAUUCUUCCCAGACCGGUGGUAGACUACCACCUUGAUAGAGCGGAAGUGGAAGCGUCGCGAGGCGUUAAGCUAACCGCUACUAAUGGUCGU
rnacentral:rRNA from 2 species